UUGGAGGGCAAGUCUGGUGCCAGCAGCCGCGGUAAUUCCAGCUCCAAUAGCGUAUACUAAAGUUGUUGUGGUUAAAAAGCUUGUAGUUGAACCUUGGGCCUGGCUGGCCGGUCCGCCUCACCGCGUGCACUGGUCCGGCCGGGCCUUUCCCUCUGCGGAACCCCAUGCCCUUCACUGGGUGUGGCGGGGAAACAGGACUUUUACUUUGAAAAAAUUAGAGUGCUCAAGGCAGGCCUAUGCUCGAAUACAUUAGCAUGGAAUAAUAGAAUAGGA
rnacentral:rRNA from 1 species